rnacentral:tRNA from 1 species
GGACGAUUAGCUCAGUUGGUUUAGAGCGUUGCCUUCACACGGCAAAGGUCACUGGUUCGAAUCCAGUAUCGUCCA